rnacentral:lncRNA from 1 species
UAAGAAGAAAAUGAUCAGAUUCUCUACACAUGAGCAUGAGGAUGUAGUCAUCACAAGGAUCCACGGCAGAUGCAUCACAUGCGUCCUUUUAUUUUUACCUUAAAGGCAUAAAAAUGAUCAGAGGUGGAUGUGAGGCUUUCACAGCUCAUGUCACCCUUGAUGCAAAGGGUCAGAUCGAGGAUGUGUCGGUAGUUCAGGAGUGCCCAGACAUUUCUGGAUCUAUUUCUUUCUUUGACCUCUGUGGUUGUCCGAUUCGGUUCUCAACACGGGCAAAAAUCCGACCUAACCGCGCCGUCGAGACAAUUAAUCAAAACUAGAAGAAACGAAUUCAGAUACAGUAAACAGUAAUGACGUGAAGAAGAAGAAGAUCCCACUGCUAGUUUUCAAAGUGUUAUUAUUAGGAGGAGCCAGUUGAUAAGAGUAAGCACUGUGGUGACUUGGAAGAAGAUGAGGUAAAAUCAAUUGCUUCUUCCAUCUUCAAUGAAGAUAGAGAAUCCUGGCCUCGAUUGAAAAACAGAGAAAAAAUGGUAUCACUUCAACUAAUCAACUAAUUACCAAGUGGUUCCAAUGAGGUGUGGAUGGCAAAGAUGCAAUGUAAUGUAGAUCGUCGAGACUCAACGAUGGCUAUGGAGAAGAUCUCCAUCUCCAUCUCCAUCUCCGUCGAAAGCUCCGGCUACCAUCUCCGUCUCUCGAUGACAGCUCUGCAAUCUGGGAUUUGUCACUCUCCAUCAACGGGAAGCUUGGACGAUUGAACAGAGUCGGACCAGAGCAAUGAUGGGGAUGCAAAUUGAAGUUGUCGAGACCAUGAACUGCUCCUUGACGACGAACAUGAUGAAGAUCCAAUCGAGGGAAGCUUGGACGAUGGAACAAAAUUGAUA